UGGGUCACCUGACCAUCUCUCUGUAGUGGGGAGUCUGAUAUCUGAGUGGAAAUGGGGUGGAAGAGGCAUUUAAGGUCCAGUCCUAUUCCUGAAGUUCUUUGAGUCCAUGAGGGACCAUUGCCUUUGAAAGGUGUGCAAUGUUCUGCAUCUUACUUCUUUGGGGAAAAAAAGAAGAGAUGGUGCCCUUAGAAGGCCAGUAGGUUUAUUUUACUGCACAUGAGCACGAUAAAGAAAACUAUAACUUUCUAUUUUCAGAGUACCCUAUUUAUACUUAAAUAAGCUUUUCAUUUAAAAUCCUGGGUCAUCUACUAGUCUUAACCAACAAAGAAUCUGAAAGGGCAUGGGUUAUAUUUUCAAAACACAAACUUAAGUGUUGAAAAAAGCCAAAGCAAUUGUAUAUAUCAAUAUACUUGCAUUGACCCUACUCUUUAGAGCUUAGAAACCCUAGGGGACUUUUUAUUUAUGAGGUAAAGCCACACAGCUGGGGCACUGUGGCAGACGUUCAUGGCAGCAGACAUUUGCCACUCUGCUGAAAAUACAAGUUAUUAGUCAACAAGAUAGCUUAUUGGAUAGCACACAGCAAGUUCAUGCAAUGCUACAUUUUAAGAGAUGUCACCAUGAGCUCGGGUCAAGGUUUCAGGGCAAAGCACCUGAUGUUCUUAUUAACAGAAGCAUAUCUCUCUCUCUCUCUCUCUCUCUCUCUCUCUCUCUCAGUCUCUCUCUCUCUGUCUCUCUCUCUCUCUCUCUGUCUCUCUCUGUCUCUCUUUCACACACACACACUUGAGUAUAUAAUCUGUGAGCAUCUUUGCAAAUACAUUAUCGCAUAUUAACUUGAGUGUUUGAUGAAGGAAUGUCUUUGGAUUGUAAACUAUGGAAUACAAUAUAAGGUAGCACCUGCCACCUACAACCCAUGACAUAUCUACACUAUGCAACACCAUUUGCAAUGCCAAGAGAAACAAACAAACAAACAAACAACGACAAAACCCACAAAACCCAGGGCUAGAAAGCCCAGAAGAGACGUUCUCCAGCUUACCCAUUUUAUUUAGUGCUUUUCUGUCUGGAUUGCCAUUGCAUUUUGAACGAUGCAGGAGACCAAGAAUCUUGCUGUUCUGAAAAGUACACACCUCUUCCAGUGCAACCAUGUUAAAGUUUAUUUUCUCCAGCCUGUGAUGUAAUAAACCUGCCGUGGCCCAGCCUUCUGUAGAGAUAUGAUAAGUACAGAUAUGAUAACAUUUUCACAAACAGGAAUUCUUGAGAGUCAAGCGAGUGACUUUGAAGCUGAUACAUUGACAGUGCCUCCGACAUGGUGGGUUGUGAUUCUGUACUAUAGUGCUUUUGAAAAGAAAAAGAAAAGCGAGCCCUCUGUUUGGAAGUUAGGAUCUUUGCUGUGGGAUGUGACAUACCUGUGUUCCUAGUCAGUCAGAGGCUACAUAAGAGCAGAUGAGUUCAGGCCUCCAGGUGUAUUGAGGGAAUAUUUUUGUGAUAUGUGGAAGUUCAAGGCACAUUAUGUAGACUGUAUCACACUAGGGGGUAUACAACAGUAAUAUCAAAACUUCUAGAAUGUUCUAUAAGGAAGAAGAGGUAUUGUCAAUACUAUAAUUUCCAUUCUAAUCUUAUCAACUGUCAACAUUAAUGAACUCAUCAAUGGGAUAUAUCCAUCUUUGUCCCUUCGUCACUUAGGAAAUGCCUCAGAUGGCCCUGGAGUGGGUACAUGGUAUAUCCUCAACUACAUAGAUCUGUCUUAUGAAGACAAAGGUAUUUGGGUUUUCUGUGCAGGAGGCUGUUGGGUAUGAGCCACAUACAACUUCUCUGCCCCUUUUGUGCUCAGUUAUAGCUGGAUGGAGCCGGGUGGAGGUUGAAUGGGAGACGGGUAAGCAGAGGAAAUGUAGGUCAAGUUUGCUUCUCAUCACCACUUCGUGAUAAAUGCAACUACAGCCGCUCUCCCUUCUCUCUGCUCCACAGACAGCCAGCACCAUGAGCCAAUGCCGCCCCCUCACCGCCUCCUGCUCCCAUCAGGCCAACCAAGUGGAUAAACCCAGGGAACAGAAGGAAGAACUUUUAGGAUGAGCUGUGUUCACUAUUUAGAAAUAGCAUAACUGUGUGAAAAAUUGUUUUCUCAAGAAGUAGGGGUGGAGACGGAAGCAUUCCAUUGUUAAAUAUUGUACCCAGUCAGUUCUAAUAUUAAAUAUUUUCCCUCCCACUGUAGUCAAAGCCCUGUUUGCUUACAUGGGUCUUCAGUCAAACCUGCCUGAAUUACAGGAGACUCUUCUGACCUAGGCUUUAAUUUUGCCUUUCUCUCAGACAUAUUAAGGAACAUGCCAAGUUGGCCUCAGGUUUACUGUGUAUCUCUAUCUCAAAGCGGAGAGUGGCAAACCCACUCUUCUACUUUUCUCUUAAAGUUUUGCUAAAGCUGAGUUGUUUGCUGGGUUUUUGUUUUGUAGAAUAUUUAUAACUAACUUAAGAGACAUUUUUGAUCUUGUC
rnacentral:lncRNA from 1 species